GUUACUAUGGCAGAGUGGCCAAUGCAGAAGGCCUAAGCCCUUCCCCCGCGGGUUCAACUCCCGCUAGUAACU
rnacentral:tRNA from 1 species